ensembl:lncRNA
ACAGUCACCCUGCUAGGUACGGGGAGGGAACAGUCACCCUGCUAGGUACGGGGAGGGAACAGUCACCCUGCUAGGUACGGGGAGGGAACAGUCACCCUGCUAGGUACGGGGAGGUGACGGUCACCCUGCUAGGUACGGGGAGGUGACGGUCACCCUGCUAGGUACGGGGAGGGAACAGUCACCCUGCUAGGUACGGGGAGGUGACGGUCACCCUGCUAGGCACGGGGAGGUGACGGUCACCCUGCUAGGUACGUGGAGGUGACGGUCACCCUGCUAGGUACGGGGAGGUGACGGUCACCCUGCUAGGUACGGGGAGGGGACGGUCACCCUGCUAGGUACGGGGAGGGGACGGUCACCCUGCUAGGUACGGGGAGGUGACGGUCACCCUGCUAGGUACGGGGAGGUGACGGUCACCCUGCUAGGUACGGGGAGGGAACGGUCACCCUGC